rnacentral:rRNA from 1 species
CCUACGGGGGGCUGCAGUGGGGAAUAUUGGACAAUGGGGGCAACCCUGAUCCAGCCAUGCCGCGUGUGUGAAGAAGGCCCUCGGGUUGUAAAGCACUUUCAGUGAGGAAGAACGCCUGGUGGUUAAUACCCAUCAGGAAAGACAUCACUCACAGAAGAAGCACCGGCUAACUCCGUGCCAGCAGCCGCGGUAAUACGGAGGGUGCGAGCGUUAAUCGGAAUUACUGGGCGUAAAGCGCGCGUAGGUGGCUUGAUAAGCCGGUUGUGAAAGCCCCGGGCUCAACCUGGGAACGGCAUCCGGAACUGUCAAGCUAGAGUGCAGGAGAGGAAGGUAGAAUUCCCGGUGUAGCGGUGAAGUGCGUAGAGAUCGGGAGGAAUACCAGUGGCGAAGGCGGCCUUCUGGACUGACACUGACACUGAGGUGCGAAAGCGUGGGUAGCAAACAGGAUUAGAUACCCGAGUAGUC